UAGGGAAUCUUCGGCAAUGGGGGGAACCUUGACCGAGCAACGCCGCGUGAGUGAAGAAGGUUUUCGGAUCGUAAAGCUCUGUUGUUAAGGAAGAACGAGUGUGAGAAUGGAAAGUUCAUACUGUUACGGUACUUAACCAGAAAGGGACGGCUAACUACGUGCCAGCAGCCGCGGUAAUACGUAGGUCCCGAGCGUUGUCCGGAUUUAUUGGGCGUAAAGCGAGCGCAGGCGGUUAGAUAAGUCUGAAGUUAAAGGCAGUGGCUCAACCAUUGUAGGCUUUGGAAACUGUUUAACUUGAGUGCAGAAGGGGAGAGUGGAAUUCCAUGUGUAGCGGUGAAAUGCGUAGAUAUAUGGAGGAACACCAGUGGCGAAGGCGACUCUCUGGUCUGUAACUGACGCUGAGGCUCGAAAGCGUGGGUAGCAAACAGG
rnacentral:rRNA from 1 species